CUCCAUACGCCUGCGGAUCAGGAAUACCAGAGAUAAAGACGAUCCUGAGUGGCUUCAUCAUCCGCGGGUAUCUGGGCAAGUGGACGCUGCUCAUAAAGACGGUGACGCUGGUGCUGGCCGUGUCGUCUGGCCUCAGUCUGGGGAAGGAAGGGCCUCUCGUGCACGUCGCCUGCUGCUGCGGAAACCUGUUCUGCAGCCUCUUCUCCAAAUACAGCAAGAACGAGGGCAAACGCAGAGAGGUUUUGUCGGCAGCUGCGGCCGCAGGAGUGUCUGUUGCGUUCGGAGCUCCAAUCGGAGGAGUUCUGUUCAGUCUGGAG